rnacentral:tRNA from 1 species
GGUUGUGGCUCAGUGGUAGAGCGCUUGCCUCGCAUGUGAGGCACUGGAUUCGAUUCUCAGCACUA